rnacentral:rRNA from 1 species
AUGAAGCUGGAAUCGCUAGUAAUCGCGGAUCAGCAUGCCGCGGUGAAUACGUUCCCGGGCCUUGUACACACCGCCCGUCACACCAUGGGAGCCGGUAAUACCCGAAGUCAGUAGUCCAACCUCGUGAGGACGCUGCCGAAGGUAGGAUUGGCGACUGGGGUGAAGUCGUAACAAGGUAAC